GACGAACGCUGGCGGCGUGCUUAACACAUGCAAGUCGAACGGAAAGGCCCUGCUUUUGUGGGGUGCUCGAGUGGCGAACGGGUGAGUAACACGUGAGUAACCUGCCCUUGACUUUGGGAUAACUUCAGGAAACUGGGGCUAAUACCGGAUAGGAGCUCCUGCUGCAUGGUGGGGGUUGGAAAGUUUCGGCGGUUGGGGAUGGACUCGCGGCUUAUCAGCUUGUUGGUGGGGUAGUGGCUUACCAAGGCUUUGACGGGUAGCCGGCCUGAGAGGGUGACCGGCCACAUUGGGACUGAGGUACGGCCCAGACUCCUACGGGAGGCAGCAGUGGGGAAUAUUGCACAAUGGGCGGAAGCCUGAUGCAACAGCGCCGCGUGCGGGAUGACGGCCUUCGGGUUGUAAACCGCUUUCGCCUGUGACGAAGCGUGAGUGACGGUAAUGGGUAAAGAAGCACCGGCUAACUACGUG
rnacentral:rRNA from 1 species